rnacentral:rRNA from 1 species
UCGGGAAUUUUGGGCAAUGGGCGAAAGCCUGACCCAGCAACGCCGCGUGAAGGAUGAAGUAUUUCGGUAUGUAAACUUCGAAAGAAUAGGAAGAAUAAAUGACGGUACUAUUUAUAAGGUCCGGCUAACUACGUGCCAGCAGCCGCGGUAAUACGGGGGGUGCAAGCGUUAAUCGGAAUUAUUGGGCGUAAAGGGUGCGUAGGUUGUUUGAUAAGAUAUAUGUGAAAUACCUGGGCUCAACCUGGGAAGGUCAUAUAAGACUGUCAGACUCGAGUAUGGGAGAGGGUAGAGGAAUUUCCGGUGUAGCGGUGAAAUGCGUAGAUAUCGGAAGGAACAUCGGUGGCGAAGGCGUCUACCUGGCCUAAUACUGACACUGAGGCACGAAAGCGUGGGGAGCAAACAGGAUUAGAUACCCACGUAGUCCCUGAGCGGGCUGGCAAGGCGCAU